AGAGUUUGAUCAUAGCUCAGGAUGAACGCUAGCGGUGCGCCUAACACAUGCAAGUCGAGCGAUGAAGUUUUCUACACAGAGCAGAAAAACAAUAUACCUUUUCUCUUCUCUGUGUAGAAAAUAGAUUAGCGGCAAACGGGUGCGUAACACGUUGAUACUUCCCCCUAAGUCAGGGAUAGCCUGGAGAAAUCCAGAUUAAUACCGGAUAGUCCCGAAAGGGUAAAGCAGCAAUGCGCUCAGGGAAAGGUCUGCGGCCUAUCAGCUAGUUGGUGAGGUAAUAGCUCACCAAGGCAAUGACGGGUAGCUGGUCUGAGAGGACGGCCAGCCACAAUGGGACUGAGACACGGCCCAUACUCCUACGGGAGGCAGCAGUGAGGAAUCUUCCACAAUGGGCGAAAGCCUGAUGGAGCGACACCGCGUGAAGGAUGAAGCCUUUGUUGGUGUAAACUUCUUUUCUCUUGGAAGAUAAUGACGGUACAAGAGGAAUAAGGGGCGGCAAACUUCGUGCCAGCAGCCGCGGUAAUACGAGGGCCCCAAGCGUUAUCCGGAAUUACUGGGCGUAAAGCGUCUGUAGGUGGUUUUUUAAGUUUCGUAUGAAACUCCAGGGCUCAACCCUGGAUUGUGCGAAAAACUGGGGAACUUGAGUGUGGGAGAGGCAAGCAGAACGGUAUGAGUAGGGGUGCAAUCCGUUGAUACAUACCAGAAUACCAAAAGCGAAGGCAGCUUGCUGGAACACUACUGACACUGAGAGACGAAAGCGUGGGGAGCGAAAGGGAUUAGAUACCCCUGUAGUCCACGCCCUAAACGAUGGAUGCUAGGUGUUGGACGUAAGUUCAGUGCUCAAGCUAACGCAUUAAGCAUCCCGCCUGAGGAGUACGGCCGCAAGGUUAAAACUCAAAUGAAUUGACGGGGGCCCGCACAAGCAGUGGAUCAUGUGGUUUAAUUCGACAAUAAACGAG
rnacentral:rRNA from 1 species